CUGCUGGAGGUCGCUCUUCGGCGGACUGCGCGGAGAACAGGCCGGGCAGAGUGGAGCCGAGGAGGCAGCGCCGCGUGUUUAUUUUCACGUGGCCCGAAAAGAGAGCUUAUCUUAAUGUAGUGUCUUUGGAUUUUCUGCGGUCACAAACUCCUUUGAACAUCUUUGAGAGCUAUAACGUUGUCUCCAGAAAAAUAUAUUGCCAAGAAAAAGAGGGUAACGCUCCGACCUCCAGCAGACUGAACUAACACAAAAGUCACUGGCAUGCAGGGCAAGCAUACAAAUGGAGGCACAUUCCAAGCGUCUAAGUAUUUAAAAACUAUAAAUCAAGCUAACAACUGGGAACGGAUCCUCUUCAUGCAGCGGUCAAGUGAGAAACUGGAGAGUUUCUUGGAAAAUACUCCCAUCUUCCACCUUCCUUUGAGCCUCCUGCUCUGGUAAAAUGUCAUGCAAGGAAAGGACAGGGUCUUUGUUUUGACUGGCUAAAGUGGUCUCCUGCUAGGAGCUGAGGGCAAGAAUAUAAGAUUACUUACCAAGAUAUCUUCCUGGGAGCCCUCUGGUAUUAUGAUCACCUAACCCUUCUGUAAAUUGCCUUUAAUUCUCUCUGCCAAUAGGACUUUCCCAAUAAGCCAGGGCAAGUAUGAAGGAUAAAGUUGUAAAAACAAAUGCAAAACCUAUUUUCUAGCCUCUACUUGCUUUGAGGAUCCAGAUUUACUUUUUCUUUUAUUUUUUUCUUUUGUUUUUAAUUUUCCUUAUUAUUCUUUCUUACAAACCCUGUGUCCAGGGCUGACUUUCAAUAGAUCACAGCGAGGGAGCUGCUCUGCUAUGUAGGAAACCCCUUCUGCCCAGAAGCAGGUCUUCUAUGCAUGGUUUAGCACCAGGCUCCCCACAAACCCCCUGUUGCCUGGCAGGUGAGGGGGUGGCCCCCUUCCAGCUGCUCCCCUUUCCUGGGUGGAGGGGCUCUCUGCAUUGAUCGCGAUGGGGCACAGCCGGGAGGGACGGCUGGGCACCCGCUAUCCCUGGCCAACACAAGUCCCCCAGUGCUGCGGGUUAUCAAUUCUGCUUGGGCCGGAUUCUGACUUAGAGGCAUGGAAUCACAGUCCCACAGAUGGUAGCUUUGCCCCAGACGAUCCAGAUUUAAAUGAUAGUAAUAAAUUCCUUACCUAUUGAAAACAAUAACAAAAUAUUUUUAACCUUCUCUAUCUUUGUGCUUCCAAUCCUUUUGAGUUUGAAUUCUCUAUACAAACUCAUGAUUGCUUACACCAGUGUCUGAGUACCCUGUAAUUCUUAUAUCUCUGGGUGUAGUUGUUACAGAAAAGUGAUGUCCACCCCCACACCCCUCCCCCCCCAAAAAAGAAAGAAAAGCGAUGUCCAAUAUGGUGGCCACUAGUAAGUGGCUACUGAGAACUUGAAAUGUGACUGAUCUGACUUGAGAUGUAUUAUUCUAAGUGUAAAAUACACAGUGCAUCUCAAAAAUGUAGUACGUGUGGUAGAUUCUAAGAUAGCUCUCAAUAACCUUUGCUUCGCACCUGUAUGGAAUCCCCUCUUCUUUGAAUGUGGGAAGGGCCUGUAUCUUCCUUUUAACAGAAUAUGGCAAAAGUGAUGGGAUGUCACUUCCACAGUUAUGUUACAUAGAUUGUAAUUUCCAUCUUGCUAGCAGACUAUUUCUGUUAACUCUCCUUUGCUGGCUCUGGUGAAGUAACCCCCCCUUUGGAGAGACCUGUCUGGCGAGGAACUCAGGAAAACCUCCAGCUGGCAGCCAGCAGCAAGAUGAGCCCCUGAGUCUGGUAGCCCACAAGGAACUAAAUCCUGCCAAUAAUUGUGUGAGCCCGGAAGUGGAUACAUCCCCAUUCAAGCCUCACAUGAGACCCCAGUCCUGGCUGACAUCUGGAUUGCAGUGUCAAAGAGAUCUUAAAGCAGAGGACCCACUAAGUUGGGCACAGAUUUUCUGACCUACAGAAAUUAUGAGAUAAUGUGUUCUGGUAAACUGCUAAAUUUGUAGUAAUUUAUUGUACUAUAGUAGAUAACUAAUACAGAACCAAAAAGAAGAAUAUCAACUAUCUCAUUGUUAAUUGUUUAAUAUUGAUUACAGGUUGAAAUGAGAGCGUUUUGGAAUAUAUUGGGCCAAAUAGAAUAUUUUACCAAAA